AGAUUUGCUAAAUAUUUUAAGGUUGUAAACUGCUUCUUUAGUUAUUAAGAACUGCUCAAUUUACCUGUGUCAAAAUUUGGUAAGGCCCGGGGACAUAUGGAAUUAACCACAUCCCUACCUAUGUUGGAAAGAGUCAGACUUUGUCUGUACUUAGUAUAUAGUUAAAAUAACUUGUCAGAUUUUACAUUAAAAUUAAAAAUUUCUAAGAGUUACCAUUAUAACAUGUAGUUUAGACGACUGAAAAUAGAUUUACAGGCAAGGUGUAUAAGAAAAGUAAAAUGUAUUUUUAAUUAACAUUAUCAUAAGACAUGGGAAUGUAAAUUUUUGCAUAGUUUAGAGGGUUAAAGGAUUGUUUUAAAUUAGAUAAGAUAAAGCUAAAUGUUUAAACAAGUUGAGAACACUUUGCAAAAAUUAAUCUUAUAAAAGAAAUUCUGUGUGUGAACAUAUUCACAAAAAUUUGUAAAGGAUUAUAAAAGGUUUAAAGACUCUCACCUCAUGAUCAAAUUGAUUAAGAUUGGAUAAAAUUAUCUAUAAACUUUCAUUAGAAAAUGGGGUUGACAUUAAUAGUAGACUAAUGCAAGAGUGAAAUCUGGCCUUCUCUCACUUGAACAGGAUUUUCAUGUAAUAUAAAAGACAGAUUGCGUGGAAAAUUAAGUUUUUCCUCCUAAUAAACAAAAGUUUUGCUUCGUUUUAAAAUUUUUGAGUCAACAUUUUGGCUAAAACAAAUGACUUAUGGUAACCAGGAAUUCUACUUCAUAGUAUCAAGUGUUUUAAACUUUCAACCUGUUGGGUAGGCUUCCAAAAAUAAAAAAUGAGCUUCAAAAAUUGUUUUCUCUGACCCCUAACUUUUGAAUUCUACAGAGGGCCCUUGGAGUAUCCAAAAGAAAGGUAAGCAGGAUUAUUUGAUAUGUUUAGUUACAUGGGAUUGCCAAAAUAAAAAUAAAUUUUAAUCUUCUUCAAGUUAUAUUAUAGAGAAUAAUAUUAAUAUAUGUAUCAAAAUUGUAUGAGAUUUCUAAAAUUCUAAUGUCUUACUACAUGGUAUCAAUCAUAAUUUAGGUUGUUGUGUUAAGUUAUUGUAAAUGACAGAAAUAACCAGAUUUCUUUGUCAAUCAUGUUUUUUAUUGUUAUCACCCAUAGACAUGAUGUCAUUAAUAAUUGUUGUCUUAUUGCAUUCCUUUUCAAAAUAUAGUUUAUAAUCAGCUAUGGGAGUUUGACAGGUGCUCUCAAAUGUAUACUUCUGAUAACUUGGAGAUUAUGACAAUGGAAUAGAGGAAAAACAUACAGGAUGCAUGAAGAGCUAAUAUGUUCUUGAAUAUUAUCCAGAACAAGAAUUAAUGGAAUGGACUGAACUAAUAUAAACCUGAAAUAAUUUUUUUAAAUUUUUCUUAAAAUGUUGCUGAUUCUUGUUUUGUUUUUCAGAGUCACGGACAUUUUCUUUUGAACUAUCUACAGUUUUUAACAAUUAAGUUAUACUCCUGUGAACAAAAUUUGGAGCAUAUUUGUUUCUCCCUUCCUGGCUUCUCCAGAAUUUGGGAAACUAUUUGUGAGUAUUCUUAACUUACAGCAAUAUAAUUAUUUGUAUCAGUGCAAUAAAAAUCUAUUUUCUUUUGCAACAGGACACAUUUGGAGAAACUGGUAGUUUUACCAAUGCUCUGACUGGAAGAGUGUGCUUUCCUUUAAGGAAUCAAUCUUGACUUGCAGAGUCAAUAAAAGCCCCUUGGGAAAGCUGGACUCAUACCUUGUCUACCCAGUUGCAGUACAGGGUUUCUAACCUGUGGCAAUCAUAUUCCAAAUGGUCAUGAAACCAGAGGCUCAAACAAUGGUUCCCUUUUACCAGGGACCCUUAGAUGGGCCUCUGAGGGAAAUCUGACUGCUGUAUUCCCCAGUGACCCCUGUUGACAGGAAGCCAUUAGGAUUGGUCUUUGUCCCUAUUCUAUUGGAAGUUAGAUGUACUUCUUCAGAGGGAGAAGUGAUAAAGGCAGGAGGCAGACAAAUGCCCUGGCAGAUAGGAAUAGGUACCUGGUGAUACCCCACCUCCAAGCCAAAACAGUUUAAAGCCUGAAAGUCAACCUACAAGUUAAAUCCUCAGACAGGAUUAGGAAACUGUCUUCCCAUUUGGCACACUUUCCCCUGAUUGAUCCCCACCCAUCACCUAUUUUACAUAUACUUACACUUUCCUAAUUGGUUUUCUACACUGUUGUGUCCAGCUUUGAGUGUUCUCUUCACUUUAAACUUUUUUUCAUACUCACAAACCAAUCAGCAUGUAUUUCCCAUCCUGUACCUUUAAAGAUCCAAGACUCAGUCAGGAGAGGAGGAGACAGCCUUACUUUGGGGUGAUGACCAGCUCUUCCCAUCUCCUCUCCAGUUCCCCUCUCCACUAAGAGCUGUUUUCAUCAUUCAGUAAAUUUAUCUGCCUUCACCCAUAUGGCUUAACCAUCCACAUGACCUCAUUCUUCUUGGACACAGGACAAGAGCUUGGAACUCCCUGAGUGUGGGUACCCAGAAAGGGCUAACACACUGGCCCUUUGCCCUCACCAGUUCAAAAGCUGUGGAGGGCAACUGCCCCACGGGAUGAGGCAAGGGGCAAACUGAGCUGAUAACACACUGCUGUCUGUUGAACUGUGGACAGUGAAAGUAAAUGAGCACUGUAACAACCCCUCAAAUCUCCUUGGGAUCAUAGGCACCCUCACCUAGGUGCCACCACAUUCCCCUUAAGGCAGCAUGCUUAGUCUGACUUAUGGCCCUGCACAGAGCUUACUUCUUUGUUGGCCAGAUCCCACACCUGCUCACUCGUGUACUCUUUCCCACAAGGGGCUGAGUGCAGUAAACCAAGUGAAUGGAGCACCCUUGCCACUAGUCCAGUGAAGGAGCUGAGAAAAGGCCUGCAUCAGUACUUAAUAGCCAUAUCGGUACACAGAUUAAACUUCAGUUUCUACCUAGGAUCUUGAAUUUCUCAGAUUUUUGACUUCUCUGUCUUUUGUGGGUAAUAAUAUUUAGAUUUCAGAAUGCAAAAGAGGGUAUUGUAAUUCUCUGCAGGCAGUGAAUCUCUAGCCAUUGAUCUGUGUGUCAUUUCACCAGACUCUCAGGCACAGCAAUAUUAUAGUCUGGCAGCAGAUCAUGAAGACCUGAAACAACCACCCAUUCUGAUUAAUAAAUAUUUUAAAUCUGUUUAUUUUUUAUUAGAGAUAGCCAGUAGUUGAACAUAUAUAUUACCUUGUGAAGAUCAACAAAAAUAUUUAGUUGUUUCCAGUAGCACUUGCAGUUGUAGAUUCAUAUAUAGAAUAUUGAAUUAAUGGAAAAAAACAGAGCACCUGAGUAUAAACAGUGAAAAAUGGUGCAAAAUGAAGAAAGCAGGGGUGUGGGUGCAUAAAACAGACACUUGAGAAAUUUUUCAAGCAUGAUUCUUUGUCUUCUUGAACUCUGAUUUAAAGGUUGCUAAGCAACAGUGGCAGUAACAGCUGGGACACCCUUGAUCUUGUUGUGUAAACUAUUAAAAAUAGGUGAUGGAAAGUGGCACCAUGGAAACAAUGACUCUACUGAAGCAGGUGUCUGUAAUGCAGCUUUUCAGUCUAAUGUUAGAGGUGUAAAUUACAAAAAGAAAAAAUAAAAUAACUAUAUCUUCCAUUAUCCUAAUCUUUGACUUUGAUAAGGGAUAUUUUUUCUCUUUUGCAUUUUCUUGCAAUUUCCCAAGCAUGCUGGCUCAAAAAAAAGUGUUGAUAAUUUUAAGUAAUUACUGAUAUUGUGUUUUGAUUUCUUAAUUUCAAAAAUGAUUUUUUAUUAUUUCAAACUCAAUCUAAAUUCUAUAUAUCCAGUUAAACAUGGAUCAAUAUAAAAUGCUGUAUAAUAGUAAUUGUGCAUGAAUCUCUUCAGGUUUCUAAUUUACUAACAUUAACUUUCAGAGGCUGAUCAUCUUAUAAUUAUUUAUUUUAGAUUAAUAGGAAUCAUCUUGGAAACGCUCCCUGAAUCUUGUUUUAUAAUUAAAUGCUUUUAACAAUAAUAAUAUAAAUAUAUACACCUAGUCUAUACAUUUAAAGGACUCAUUCUAUUAUAUUUAUGAAAUCAACAGUAAACAACUCAGUUCUUAUUUUCAGAUAGUUUAUUGGAUACCAGCACUAUAGAACCAGUGUAAACUUCAGUACUUACAGAAGUAGAAAGGACCCAUUUCCACCAAUGUCACCUAAAUCAAGCUUUUUUUGCCAGUCAAGUGAAUUUGUUUUAUUAGACAUUCAGUUGAAGCACCAUAAAAGAAGAAUAAAUAGGAAGAUAUUUUGUAUUUAUAGCAUUUAAAUAAAAUACAUAACUAGAAGAGUCUAUAAAACCAUUUCUACUUUCAUUUUAUACAUGAGAAACUGAAAACCAUGAAAACCUUAACUAAGGUAGAGACUACAAUUUGUAAUGUAACAUAUCUAAUCCACUUCCUAUUCCAGAGCUCUAUCCACUGCAUAAUGAUGCCAAAUUUAGCCUAUUCUAAUAAAGAUUUUAGAACUUUGGAAAGAUUUGAUUAUUAUUGGAUGAUAAUUGAUAAGAAGUUUCAUGGGAAUUUCUGCUCAUUUUAGUUUUCUAAACUCAUGCAUUAAACUUUGUUUUCAUAAAACACAUAAAAAUAAUUAUAAGACAUAUAAACUUAAAAUAUUAAGAAUAUCAUGUUCUUGUUCAAACACAAGAUAUUCCAUUGGCCCUAACUGGCAUUAAAACAUAAAUCAGUGAGUCAUGCUGAGUGCCUCGUCUUCUGAAUUCCAAGUUUGGAAAGAGGCAGAUAUGGCUGAAUGCCAGAUUCUGAAGAGCAAUGACAAAAAUAAAGCCAGGCUGCGUGUUUGAUAUCAAAGAAUAUGGUGGGGCUCAUUUCACAAGAAAAAAGGCAGAAACCAUUGCCUUUUACUAUGGCUUUCAUUAUCCACAGAGUAAAUUUACUUAAAAAAAAGUACAAAAAUAAUGA